GAGAAGUCGUAAAAGGUUUCCGUAGGUGAACCUGCGGAAGGAUCAUUGA
rnacentral:rRNA from 1 species